rnacentral:rRNA from 1 species
AGUGAACGCUGGCGGUAGGCCUAACACAUGCAAGUCGAACGGCAGCACAGUAAGAGCUUGCUCUUACGGGUGGCGAGUGGCGGACGGGUGAGGAAUACAUCGGAAUCUACUUUUUCGUGGGGUAUAACGUAGUGAAACUUACGCUAAUACCGCAUACGACCUACGGGUGAAAGCAGGGGAUCUUCGUACCUUGCGCGAUUGAAUGAGCCGAUGUCGGAUUAGCUAGUUGGCGGGGUAAAGGCCCACCAAGGCGACGAUCCGUAGCUGGUCUGAGAGGAUGAUCAGCCACACUGGAACUGAGACACGGUCCAGACUCCUACGGGAGGCAGCAGUGGGGAAUAUUGGACAAGGGGCGCAAGCCUGAUCCAGCCAUACCGCGUGGGUGAAGAAGGCCUUCGGGUUGUAAAGCCCUUUUGUUGGGAAAGAAAAGCAGCAGGUUAAUACCCCGCUGUUCUGACGGUACCCAAAGAAUAAGCACCGGCUAACUUCGUG